rnacentral:rRNA from 1 species
CUGUGAGGUAUGCUGGAGGUAUCAGAAGUGCGAAUGCUGACAUAAGUAACGAUAAAGCGGGUGAAAAGCCCGCUCGCCGGAAGACCAAGGGUUCCUGUCCAACGUUAAUCGGGGCAGGGUGAGUCGACCCCUAAGGCGAGGCCGAAAGGCGUAGUCGAUGGGAAACAGGUUAAUAUUCCUGUACUUGGUGUUACUGCGAAGGGGGGACGGAGAAGGCUAUGUUGGCCGGGCGACGGUUGUCCCGGUUUAAGCGUGUAGGCUGGUUUUCCAGGCAAAUCCGGAAAAUCAAGGCUGAGGCGUGAUGACGAGGCACUACGGUGCUGAAGCAACAAAUGCCCUGCUUCCAGGAAAAGCCUCUAAGCAUCAGGUAACAUCAAAUCGUACCCCAAACCGACACAGGUGGUCAGGUAGAGAAUACCAAGGCGCUUGAGAGAACUCGGGUGAAGGAACUAGGCAAAAUGGUGCCGUAACUUCGGGAGAAGGCACGCUGAUAUGUAGGUGAAGCGACUUGCUCGUGGAGCUGAAAUCAGUCGAAGAUACCAGCUGGCUGCAACUGUUUAUUAAAAACACAGCACUGUGCAAACACGAAAGUGGACGUAUACGGUGUGACGCCUGCCCGGUGCCGGAAGGUUAAUUGAUGGGGUUAGCGGUAACGCGAAGCUCUUGAUCGAAGCCCCGGUAAACGGCGGCCGUAACUAUAACGGUCCUAAGGUAGCGAAAUUCCUUGUCGGGUAAGUUCCGACCUGCACGAAUGGCGUAAUGAUGGCCAGGCUGUCUCCACCCGAGACUCAGUGAAAUUGAACUCGCUGUGAAGAUGCAGUGUACCCGCGGCAAGACGGAAAGACCCCGUGAACCUUUACUAUAGCUUGACACUGAACAUUGAGCCUUGAUGUGUAGGAUAGGUGGGAGGCUUUGAAGUGUGGACGCCAGUCUGCAUGGAGCCGGCCUUGAAAUACCACCCUUUAAUGUUUGAUGUUCUAACGUUGGCCCCUGAUCGGGGUUGCGGACAGUGUCUGGUGGGUAGUUUGACUGGGGCGGUCUCCUCCUAAAGAGUAACGGAGGAGCACGAAGGUUGGCUAAUCCUGGUCGGACAUCAGGAGGUUAGUGCAAUGGCAUAAGCCAGCUUGACUGCGAGCGUGACGGCGCGAGCAGGUGCGAAAGCAGGUCAUAGUGAUCCGGUGGUUCUGAAUGGAAGGGCCAUCGCUCAACGGAUAAAAGGUACUCCGGGGAUAACAGGCUGAUACCGCCCAAGAGUUCAUAUCGACGGCGGUGUUUGGCACCUCGAUGUCGGCUCAUCACAUCCUGGGGCUGAAGUAGGUCCCAAGGGUAUGGCUGUUCGCCAUUUAAAGUGGUACGCGAGCUGGGUUUAGAACGUCGUGAGACAGUUCGGUCCCUAUCUGCCGUGGGCGCUGGAGAACUGAGGGGGGCUGCUCCUAGUACGAGAGGACCGGAGUGGACGCAUCACUGGUGUUCGGGUUGUCAUGCCAAUGGCACUGCCCGGUAGCUAAAUGCGGAAGAGAUAAGUGCUGAAAGCAUCUAAGCACGAAACUUGCCCCGAGAUGAGUUCUCCCUGAGACUUAGAGUCUCCUGAAGGAACGUUGAAGACGACGACGUUGAUAGGCCGGGUGUGUAAGCGCAGCGAUGCGUUGAGCUAACCGGUACUAAUGAACCGUGAGGCUUAACCUU